rnacentral:rRNA from 1 species
UACGUAGGGGGCGAGCGUUAUCCGGAAUUAUUGGGCGUAAAGAGUACGUAGGUGGUUCUGUAAGCGUGAGGUGAAAGCCCGGGGCUUAACUCCGGCGAGCCUCAUGAACUGCAGGACUUGAGUGCAGGAGGGGAAAGUGGAAUUCCUGGUGUAGCGGUGAAAUGCGUAGAUAUCAGGAGGAACACCGGUGGCGAAGGCGACUUUCUGGACUGUAACUGACACUGAGGUACGAAAGCGUGGGGAGCAAACA